rnacentral:lncRNA from 1 species
GGUUGUAAAAAUGAAAUUGCAGACGCGAUUUCUCGUUUUCAGUUGAAGAGAUUCCGGGAACUAGCAUCCGGGGCCGAGUCGGUUCCAGAAAACAACCCAGAAGAGUUCAGAAAUUGAUAUUGAGUUUGAAACAAACAGAUUAAUUAAUUGUUCGCUUGCUCCUAAUACAAUUCAAGCUUAUCAACGAGCUUUAAAUGCUUUGGCUAAAUUUAUGGAUAGUUUUGAUUUAGAUCAUAGUUUUCCAAUACCAUUGAACCAC